GUAUAAAAAGCGAAGGUUUGCGUUCGGUUUCGGCCCGUAUUUUGGGGAUAUUAUCCUCUUUAUACU
rnacentral:tRNA from 1 species